UUUUUUUUAUUUUGUGGGUGUGAGUAUGUUUGGUCUCAUGCAUCAAACCCAUCUCAAAAGAAGACAAUUUUUAAAAGAAGACAACUCCAUUAAUGGCAAAUUAAUCUUUAAAUUGAUGAAAGGGUAAAGGAAACAAUGGGCAUGAGUGGCGAAGAUGAAUUUUUGGAUUUUGUGGGUAUGGGUCUGUUUGGUCCCAUUAAUGGAGAAUUAAUCAAGAAACUUCAUUAAUGGAGAAUUAAUCAAGAAAAAGCAGCAAGAUUGAAGGGGUUUGAAUUUGCGUUAUGGCAUAAGUAAAUAUGAAAUGUUCAAGAGAAAGGGGUUUGGGAGAAGAGAAAAGGAAAAAAAUAAACACUUUUUUUAUUACACCCCGCAGACAUUUGGUCCACCUCUUUUCGUGCAGACGUUUGCAGAUGUGGUCCGCAGACUGCAGACCUUUUGCAUCUGAAAAAACAAACACCACCUUAGUUUUCAUAGUUAAAUUUAUAAGUGGAUCCCACAUAAUGGUAUUUUAGUCAUUUUACCCUAAAUACUAAAAUAAUAAACAUAAAAAACCCAUCUCCCUCUCAUCUCAAAACUCACUUACUGUCUUCCUCAUUUUUUACUCUCUCUCUACAGUCUGAAUGGAGAAACACAUCCAAUCUUGCCUACCAGAAACCAACAGAAACACAACAUCCACACUUAUUCAAGAAACACAACAUCCAAUCUUAUUCAAGGGUUCUGCUCAGAUUGAUAAUUUCAUCAAACCUUGCAUAUACCUGAUCUAUAAGCCUGAAAACAAUGGGGUUUUUAGUACACACUACCAGAUUCGUCAUUGGAGAUCCAUAAGUCGCCAUCAUUCUGCCAGAUCCGUAAGUCGCCGCCGUCGAAUGAUUGAAUCUUGAUAUUGAUUCAAUCAUUGAGGUGGUGUUUAUGGAAGAUGGAAUUUGGGGCUAUGAUUUGCGGGUUGUGGUUGUGGGGGCAGAUCUUAGUGGUGAGUUUGAGUGGCAGUGAGAUGUGGGGUUGGGUGGGCCGUGUGAAGGUGGUGGUAGGUGGUGGGAUAGGCGGUGGUGGUACCAUAGUUAGAGAGAGAUAAAGAGAGGUUUAUCAUAUAUGUGUAUGUGUUUGUAUAGAUAAUUAUAAUUAUAUCUAUGUAAUUUUUUUAAACAA